rnacentral:misc_RNA from 1 species
ACAUGACCACACAUCUGCAAUCUGGUAUUGCAGUACAAAAUUAAAAUAGCAACUUGUUUUCAUAUUAAAUAUUAGAAUUCUGAAGAACAUUUAUCAUGGUGUGGGUAUGUCUACAUGCAAUCCAAAAUUACAUAUUGCUUAGACUAAGAAGACAGAUACGAGAAACCAAUGCAGUUUCACAACCACAUGCACAAAAAUAUAUAUAUAAUGCUUAGCACAGUAAAAUCUAUCAACAUCUAACUAUUAAAAAAAAAGGCAACAGGCAUGAAAUGAGAAAGAAUCAUCAAAUUCUAAAACGCAGAAGGAUUCCUGUUGGCUGCCACACCUGCCAGAACUGUGAAGGCAUAAUAUAAAUAUGCAACGCAAAAUGGUCUAAGGAUCGAAACCUUUAAUUGCCCCAUGCAUGCACACAUGCACGUGUGCACGCAAGUUAGGUUACACAUUCCAUCUCUAAUUCCUAGAAGAAGAAAAGAUCUCGUCUCUAAAGUAAUAUGAAUGAUACUUCAAUAUUGUGAUUAAAUAUAUCACUAUGAACAGGCAAGCAAACUGGUAGCAUCCAUUUUGCACCUAUGCUCCAGGAUAUAUUGAUGCAUAAACGUGCA